rnacentral:ncRNA from 1 species
AAAUUGAAGAGUUUGAUCAUGGCUCAGAUUGAACGCUGGCGGCAGGCCUAACACAUGCAAGUCGAACGGUAACAGGAAGCAGCUUGCUGCUUCGCUGACGAGUGGCGGACGGGUGAGUAAUGUCUGGGAAACUGCCUGAUGGAGGGGAUAACUACUGGAAACGGUAGCUAAUACCGCAUAACGUCGCAAGACCAAAGAGGGGGACCUUCGGGCCU